rnacentral:lncRNA from 1 species
AGUUUGGAAAGCAUCUCUUUGAACUUCUUGAAAAAUCCUUCUUCAUCUUCUGCCUUUGGUUUCUUCCUUCUUAUUGGAUACUAUGGUUUGAUAUAGUAAGGUAGUUCAAAACUAAGAUCAUUGAGGAUUUGAUUCUUGGUCCUUCUCAAGGGUAAGUUUUAAUCUAUAAUUUAUCAAUUGUAUCCCCCUCACAGAGUAGUCACUCAUUUUUUUCACUCACUUCUUUUUUCUUUUUCAACUUCUACCUCUUUUUCCACAUCUAUACUUCUU